rnacentral:rRNA from 1 species
CAGAGCCAUAUCAACCUGCAGUUCUCACCUGGUGUCCUACUGAAGUUAUGCAGCAAUGAGCCUGGCCAGUACCUGGAUGGGAGACCACCUGGGGAAAACUAAGGCUUGGUCUGU